GUUGCUCCCUAACAAAUCACCCACUGAUUCUGAAAUGCAUUGCAAGCUGCCAGAGCAGUUUUCUUUCUAAGAAAUAGACUCUUUCAAUUUGUGUUUACAAGAAGAAAAGCUUCUUGUUCAGGGCUGCGGUGUGGCUGUUUUUCUGCCCAUCAUCUGAAACAACAAAGCAGGGGCUUGUCAGUGAGACUCUACUGAAUGGAGGUCUCCGACUUGCCCAAACGGAGCUUCUCCAGAGUCUCACCUCUGUGUUAAUGUCACACUAACUAGGAUGUGCCAAAAAGCAUAGCCUGUGAGACAGGACUUUCUACAUGAAGUUGGAAACCGCCACAUCAUCGGAACAAGAAAGCAAACUUGUGGCCUGAAGGCUUACACUGGAUCCCUCAAGCUCUUGGAAUGUUUCUUUCUGUGUUUAUUUCUGAAGGGUUCCAUGUUGCACCCAAGAAGGGGUCUCAUUCUAGUCAGUCUGCUUGUGGGAGGACAGGCCACUGAAGGAUUCAUCUGGAAGCUCUCUCAUGAAUCUUGAUUGUGUCAGACCAGUAGCCAGUAUUCUUUUGAAGAGCAGACCUUGACAGCUGAAUUUCAGGCUGGUAAGUAAUGUAGUAAUGUUGACUUACAGCUGUACUAAAUGGAAACAACAUACCCUCCAAUCCUCAUCAGUGGUACAGCUGAGAGCAGGUGAAGACCUCUGUCAUCUUGUCUAUGUGUGUGAGGGGUAGCGAAUGCCUCCACUACAGGGCAGCGGUCCUUAGGGCUUUGCGAGGACAGACUCUCCGGUGUAAACAGGUUGGAUUGCUUCCCCCUUCCAUACUGAACUAAAAAUAAAACUAC
rnacentral:lncRNA from 12 species